rnacentral:rRNA from 1 species
AUGGCGCACAUGGUGCAAGGGAUCAACAGCGUGAAUAUGGCCAUGGCGGCUAGGCCGAUUGACGCCAGUGGUUUCGGGGUUGGGCUGGAGCUGGAGGAUGGCGAGGGGAUCGGAGCGGUUAUAGGGGAAGAGGCGCUGGGCGGCGAGGAGGAGGCAGCUCCCCCGGCUGAGAUUUGGUUAGGACACUGGGGGUUAUGUGCUCUGACUGGUGGGGUCCACCUAUGGCCACGUAGUCAAGAGUCAACCGUCCACGACUCGACCGGUGACUGUGUGACCGUGCUCGACUCGCCCGUGCUGGACUGGGCGAGCGGCGCCGCCGUAAGCAUCUUCUACGGCAGUGGUUUCUUCUCCGCGGUGGUGGAGCGCAUUUCUCGGCAGCGGCAGAGCUAUUGCGAGGAGAUGGAGCGAGGGCUAGAUGAGAUGGAGCGAGGAGACGGGCUGCCCCGAGGAGACAGUGCUUCAAAUCGGGGAGGUUCAGGUUCUGCCACCACAUUCGCAAUUAUAGUGGAAUUUUUUCCCUGUAAAGCCAAGCUCAGUGAUGGCAGUGUCCAAGACAUUGAUAGAGAUACCACCGUGAGGUUGGAUGUCGAUUUUGCAGAUGUUGAUCCCCAGGAAUUGGAGAUCAUGAAGGAGAAGGCCGUGGGCAAUUUGGUGGAGAGAAUUGGGGAGAGUAUUGUUUGGGGUCCAGAACAAGAGGUAUCUCUGCAACGUUUCGAUAACUAUAAUGGUGAAUAUGUGAGAAUUGAAGAUGGAGAAUCCAUGGUUGCUGAAAUUGAUCAGCAAGGAGGAUGGGCAAGCAAACAAGUAACAUUUUAUGCAGAGCUAAUUGAUCUGCAAACUCAUUCCAGAAUUGGUUAUGUGCCAUCAAAGAUGGCUGCACAGAUGGAAGAUGAUGAGUGGAUUUCACAAAAGAAGAUGUUGGCAUUGUUGACUGAACCGACUAUAGUAGCUGAAGAUACUGGGAUUGAUGCAGAUGGAGAGGAGGGAACCCAUGGUGCUAGGAAGAUUGUUGUUGACUGGAAUGUAGUAGAGUUGAAUGAAAAAACAGAUUUGGUCAUUACACCAAUAUCUGACAUUGAUAUGGCCGAAAUGUUUGGCAUUCAAGUUGAUGACAAAGAUAAGGAGAAGGAUGACAGUUCUUUGCCAGCUGAAGGUAACACAGGCCCUAGAAAUGCAAAUGAGGAUGAAGAACACCUGAUGAGAGAGGCUGCAGAUGAUGUGGAUGAUGCAGAUGAUAAUGAGCUGGUUUGUUUGUAUGACAAAGAGAACCCAGUUAUUGAGGUGGGAAAGUUGUGGCCAAGCAUGAAGGAGUUUAGGAUGUCUUUCAGGACCUAUGCAGUGAAAAAAGAGUUUGAUGCCAAGACUAUGUGGACUGAUCGAAAGAAAUUUUAUGCUCGGUGCAAAGGUUAUGAUGGUGGUGGCAAUCCUUGCAAAUGGUACUUGUCUGCCAGACUACAACCUGAUGGAAGUACAACGCUAGGGCAAUCUGAAACUAUUGCAGAUGAAGCAACUGUUGUGCUGCCAUUCGAAUCUGCUUUGACAACUGUGUUGCCAUGUUUGGAGGUUGUGCUGCCAAGUGUUGAGUUGCAAACUGAAGUAGUUGAACAAUGUGUGCCAUCUACUCAAUCUGCAGAAGUGCAAACUGAAGAAGUGAGACAUGGUCAGGUGCAAAAGUUGAGGGGGCCAAAAAGCAAGAGCAUCAGCAUCAACAAACUAUGCGCCGUGGAACCAAACGGUGGAAAAAAGCAGAAGAAAUCGAGUGGUAGAAAGAAGCAAAAGAAAUAG